UACGUAGGGUGCGAGCGUUGUCCGGAAUUAUUGGGCGUAAAGGGCUCGUAGGCGGUUCGUCACGUCGGGAGUGAAAACUCGGGGCUUAACCCCGAGCCUGCUUCCGAUACGGGCAGACUAGAGGUAGGCAGGGGAGAGCGGAACUCCUGGUGUAGCGGUGGAAUGCGCAGAUAUCAGGAAGAACACCGGUGGCGAAGGCGGCUCUCUGGGCCUUACCUGACGCUGAGGAGCGAAAGCGUGGGUAGCGAACAGGAUUAGA
rnacentral:rRNA from 1 species